AGCAGCCGCGGUAAUUCCAGCUCCAAUAGCGUAUAUUAAAGUUGUUGCAGUUAAAAAGCUCGUAGUUGAAUUUCGGGGUCAGUAGAUUGGUCGUGCCACUGGUAUGUACUGGUCUCACUGGCUCCUCCUUCCUGAUGAACCGUAAUGCCAUUAAUUUGGUGUUGCGGGGAGACUGGACUGUUACUUUGAAAAAUUAGAGUGUUUAAAGCAGGCUAACGCUUGAAUACAUUAGCAUGGAAUAAUGAAAUAGGAUGUUCGAUCUUAUUUUGUUGGUUUCUAAGAUUGACGUAAUGAUUAAUAGGGAUAGUUGGGGGCAUUAGUAUUCAAUUGUCAGAGGUGAAAUUCUUGGAUUUAUUGAAGACUAACUACUGCGAAAGCAUUUGCCAAGGAUGUUUUCAUUAAUCAAGAACGAAAG
rnacentral:rRNA from 1 species